GGUGGGAUGACGUCAAGUCAGCAUGGUCCCUUACGGUCCGGGGCUACACACGUGUUACAAUGGCCGGUACAAUGAGUUGCGACCCUGCAAAGGUAAGCCAAUCUCAAAAAACCGGUCUCAGUUCGGAUUGCAGUCUGCAACUCGACUGCAUGAAGUUGGAAUCGCUAGUAAUCGUAGAUCAGCACGCUACGGUGAAUACGUUCCCGGGCCUU
rnacentral:rRNA from 1 species